GAUUUUCUUUUGUGUAAGGUGUUGAUUGAUGAUGUGGGUAACGUCGAAGCAAGCGUUUGCAGUGUGCAAGAUGGAUGCCGUAAACAACGAUAUCUCAGUUACAGUCAAUAAAAUUGUGGUUCUUCAAGACAUUCAUUUUCGACAUGCACUCUCUGCUGUAAAGAAUCGAAUGAUGCUUUAAAGAUCAUGAAUAUUUUCUCCUGGCAUUUGGUCAUUUCUACUUGACAACAAACUUCACGAUGGCUAUCCUUAAAUAUUGAUGACAACAUUUUUUGCAUCUAAUCUCUGUUACAGAUUUACUAAAUAGUGGAAGCAUCGAAGGAUUUGGAAUGACAAGACACGAGAGCU